rnacentral:lncRNA from 1 species
CCCACCCCCACUCACGAGAAAAAAGGUGAAAUUAGAGACUGAUACUUGUACAUUUGAUCAUCUCCAAGAAAAGAAGCUUUCCAUGGUCGAUCACCCCGAAAUGCUAUCAUUGAGAGGUGAUGGGCUUAUUGUGUGAUCAAAGAUCAACCACGAAGACUCAGUCGCAAUAAUCCCUGUUUAGCUGUGUUGUUGUCGUCAAGAAGAAGACGUACCACUUGCGAUUCAAGGUUUGUCAACUUAGAGCUCCUCCAAUAACUUAUUAUAACACUAAAUCCAACCGAUACAUGAUGACCACAUAAUAGAGGCAGACAAAACACAGGGAACCUAUUUAGGUAUCACAUAACCAUGGUAAACGCAUCUCGGCAGCCAACGGGCCAACCACAAAAACGGUUUUAUUUGGAGGAGAUCGCCGUGGCUUCGGGUUGGGUUUAGAGGUUGCCGUUGACAGAUUUACCACCGUCGACGCAGAUGACUUGGCCAUUGAUGUAGCAAGCAGCAGGGAGGCACAAGAAAGCCACCACAGCUGACACCUCCUCCGACUCGGCCACGCGCCCGAGAGGGAUGCGGUACGUCUCCUUCGCCACGAACUCCUCGAUCGCAAGCAACUGUGUUGGGGACGCAAACAUUUAAGUUUGGAAUCCAGGCAUUUCAUCAACUAGGUGGUGGCGGAGGAGGUCAUUACCGGUUCCAUGAGAGGGGUUCUAACGGAGCCGGGCGCGACGCAGUUGGUCCGGAUGUUGUCCUUCGCCCACUCGCAGGCCAGGCUCCUGGUGAGCUGGUUCAGCGCCGCUGGAGAAGAGCAAGCGAGAGUCAAGUUGCUGGAGAUCUCGAAGAGCUCCAAGAGCUCGACGAGUAAUCGAGUACGUACCUUUAGUUGCUCCGUAGAUGGUUAUGUUGUCAAUGCCGACGAUGCCGGCGAGCGAGGAGACGUUGACGAUGGUGCCUGCUCCUGAUGCCUUGAGCAGGGGGUGGGCGAGCUGGGUCAGGUGGAACGCAGACUCCAGGUUGGUGCUCAUCAUAAACUUGUACUCGUCAGGGGUUAUGGCCACCAUCGGCUUCACAAACCCCGUCCCUGCGUUGUUGAC